UCGAGAAUCUUCGGCAAUGGGCGCAAGCCUGACCGAGCGACGUCGCGUGGAGGACGAAGGCCUUCGGGUUGUAAACUCCUGUCGAGGGGGAGAAAGGUCGCGCAAGCGGCUUGAUCGAUCCCUGGAGGAAGCACGGGCUAAGUUCGUGCCAGCAGCCGCGGUAAGACGAACCGUGCGAACGUUAUUCGGAAUCACUGGGCUUAAAGCGCGUGUAGGCGGAUUGGUGCGUCGGCGCCUGAAAUCCCCCGGCUCAACCGGGGAACGCGGCACGAAACGGCCAGUCUGGAGGGACGUAGGGGGGACUGGAACUUCCGGUGGAGCGGUGAAAUGCGUUGAGAUCGGAAGGAACGCCCGUGGCGAAAGCGAGUCCCUGGACGUCUACUGACGCUGAGACGCGAAAGCUAGGGGAGCGAACG
rnacentral:rRNA from 1 species